rnacentral:rRNA from 1 species
AGAGUUUGAUCCUGGCUCAGAACGAAAGAAGGGGGCGUGCUUAACACAUGCAAGUCGAGUGCGCGUCUGUAGCAAUACAGAUGGCGCACGGCGCACGGGUGCGUAACACGUGGGCAAUCUGCCCUCCGAUGGGGAAUAACUCGCCGAAAGGCGAGCUAAUUCCGCAUAACAUUCCUUGGACUUCGGUUCGAGGACUCAAAGCCGUAAGGCGUCGGAGGAGGAGCCCGCGCCCGAUUAGCUAGUUGGUGGGGUAACGGCCCACCAAGGCAAUGAUCGGUAGCUGGUCUGAGAGGAUGGCCAGCCACACUGGAACUGAGACACGGUCCAGACUCCUACGGGAGGCAGCAGUGGGGAAUCUUGCACAAUGGGCGAAAGCCUGAUGCAGCGACGCCGCGUGGGGGAUGAAGCAUCUCGGUGUGUAAACCCCUUUCGACCCGGAAGAAUGCCUCGCAAGAGGACUGACGGUACGGGUAUAAGAAGCCCCGGCUAACUACGUGCCAGCAGCCGCGGUAAGACGUAGGGGGCCAGCGUUGUUCGGAAUUACUGGGUGUAAAGGGUUCGUAGGCGGUGCGGCAAGUUGGGAGUGAAAUCUCUGGGCUCAACCCAGAGGCUGCUUCCAAAACUGCUGUGCUUUGAGUGUGGGAGAGGCGCGUGGAAUUGCAGGUGUAGCGGUGAAAAUGCGUAGAUAUCUGCAGGAACACCCGUGGCGAAAGCGGCGCGCUGGACCACUACUGACGCUGAGGAACGAAAGCUAGGGGAGCAAACAGGAUUAGAUACCCUGGUAGUCCUAGCCCUAAACGAUCAGGACUUGGGGUGCCACCCGUUUCCGGGUGUCGUCCCGGAGCUAACGGCGUUUAGUCCUGCACCCUGGGGAGUACGGUUCGCAAGACUUGAAACUCAAAGGAAUUGACGGGGGGCCCGCACAAGCGGGUGGAACAUGGUGUUCAAUUUCGGCGCUACGCUGAGGAAACUUUAACUUGGGUCUCAAAAUGUUAGGGCCCAGCUGGAAGAAAUUACCGGGCUUUCCGC